rnacentral:misc_RNA from 1 species
GAUGAAGAACGUAGCGAAACGCGAUAGGUAAUGUGAAUUGCAGAAUUCCGUGAAUCAUCGAGUCUUUGAACGCACAUUGCGCCCCCUGGUAUUCCGGGGGGCAUGCCUGUCCGAGCGUCAUUGCUGCCCUCAAGCACGGCUUGUGUGUUGGGCCUCCGUCCUCCUCCCGGGGGACGGGCCCGAAAGGCAGCGGCGGCACCGCGUCCGGUCCUCGAGCGUAUGGGGCUUCGUCACCCGCUCUUGUAGGCCCGGCCGGCGCUUGCCGACACAUCAAUCUUUUUUCCAGGUUGACCUCGGAUCAGGUAGGGAUACCCGCUGAACUUAAGCAUAUCAAUAAGCGGAGGA